CGGUGCGGGUGCGUGCGUGAGCGUGCGUGGACGUGCGCGCCCCCGCCGCCUGUGCCGGUGCUGCUCCCGCGCCCUCUGCCGCCGCUGCCCCUGCCGCCGCCGCCGCCGCCUCCUCCCCCACCCUCGACCCCCGGGGUUCCCGAGACGCAGCCCCGGCUGAGGAGGAGCGCGUCGGCCGGCUGCCCAGCAGCGCCGCGGAGCUGAGGAGCGGAGCCGCGGAACGGCGGGCGGGCGGGCGGGCGGACAGAUUAGCCUACCAUGGCAGACCAGAGACAGCGCUCACUCUCUACCUCUGGGGAAUCACUCUACCAUGUUCUGGGGCUGGACAAGAAUGCAACCUCAGAUGACAUUAAAAAGUCCUAUCGAAAACUUGCCUUGAAAUACCACCCUGACAAGAACCCCGAUAACCCGGAGGCAGCAGACAAGUUCAAGGAGAUCAACAACGCCCACGCCAUCCUGACGGACGCCACAAAAAGAAACAUCUACGACAAGUACGGGUCGCUGGGGCUCUACGUGGCCGAGCAGUUUGGAGAGGAGAACGUGAACACCUACUUUGUGCUCUCCAGCUGGUGGGCCAAGGCGCUGUUUGUCGUGUGCGGCCUCCUCACCUGCUGCUACUGCUGCUGCUGCCUCUGCUGCUGCUUCAACUGCUGCUGCGGGAGGUGCAAGCCCAGGGCGCCCGCGGGCGAGGACGCCGGCUUCUACGUGUCCCCCGAGGACCUGGAGGCACAGCUGCAGUCGGACGAGCGGGGAGGGCACUGACACGGUGCCGCAGUGUUUGUGGUGGUCGCUGGGACUGUUGAGGUGUGAACGUGGACACUUGAGAGGCCGCAGACACGCCGAUUGUCAUACAGCCAGCGUCCGCCACAGAGACCACCCAGCUCACGGCUGACUCCCACCCCAGCUACCACACCGACGGGUUCAACUAAGUUCCGGAGCCGCUGUGAUAGAGGAUAGCCCAGCACCCGGCCACUUCACCCUUAGAAUCAUGAACUGUAGCCGCAGAGAUGGGGAGGGGGCUGCCCUGGCCACGGAGGAGGAGCAGCCGCCAGCCCGCCGGGGCCCUUCCCACCUCUGUGCCCGCCCACCCGCCCGUCACCCCCCAACACGUGAAGUGCGUCGCAUGCAGUAUUUAAAGCAGUGUAGCUACGGUCCUCUUCUGUUCUCUCCUUUUUUAAUAGCAUGUCUGGGGCCA